rnacentral:lncRNA from 1 species
GCGGAGGUGGGCAUCAGAAAGCCCGGGAAGGGGGAAUCUGGCUGGCAUCAUCACACAAAGGACGACCGAGUCACCGAGUGAGGAGAGCUGUGGGUCAUAACAGGAGAAGCAGCCGGCGGCAGAACACAGAGGGCCCUGAACAUUCAGGAGUCAGGCAAGGAGCACAAGGUCCUCGCUUCCCGGAGUUUCUGGACGUGAACAGAAAGCAACACUUUGAUGAUCAUGUGGGCAGGAGAGGGAUGAACUUUGGUGGGGUGAGGGGCAGGGAAACCGGACUUUUAGGCUCUCUGAGCAUCCCACCAAGUGGCUGUCGGUUCAGAAGACCUGUCCCCAGGGCGACUAAUGUCUGCACAAGAAUUGACUCAGGGUGUUGCUGCUCUCAGUACGGUAGAAAAGGUUUCUAACAGUGGUGCGUUGGAGCUGCCCCAACCAGCACGUGAGAGCUGAUGGUUACAUGAUGAGGGCCAGGGGCUACGAAAUAAUACUCUGCUUUCCUCUCCUGCCUUCAGACCCAGCAGAGAAACAGGAAAUGAGAGGCAGACGAAAGGAGAUCAAGCUGUCAGCUUGAUUCCUGACACAGGCAUCAUCUUCAUCCCUAUACUGAACUUCCCAGCACUCACGCUCUGCAGACCUCCUUCUUCAGGGGACACUUCUCAAAAGAAGACAUUUAUGCGGCCAAAAAACAUCAUCACUGGUCAUUAGAGAAAUGCAAAUCAAAACCACAAUGAGAUACCAUCUCAUGCCAGUUAGAAUGGUGAUCAUUAAAAAGUCAGGAAACAACAGAUGCUGGAGAGGAUGUGGGGAAAUAGGAACACUUUUACACUGUUGUAUAAAUUAGUUCAAUUAUUGUGGAAGACAGUGUGUUGAUUCCUCAGGGAUCUAGAACCAGAAAUACCAUUUGACCCAGUAAUCCCAUUACUGGGUAUAUACCCAAAGGAUUGUAAAUCAUUCUACUAUAAAGACACAUGCACACGUAUGUUUAUUGCAGCACUAUUCACAGUGGCAAAGACUUGGAACUGAGCCUAAUGAGAAAUGCCCAUCAAUGAUAGACUGGAUAAAGAAAAUGUGGCACAUAUACACUAUGGAAUACUAUGCAGCCAUAAAAAAGGAUGAGUUCUUGUCCUUUGCAGGGACAUGGAUGAAGCUGGAAACCAUCAGUUUCAGCAAACUAACACAGGAACAGAAAACCAAACACCACAUGUUCUCACUCAGAAGUGGGAGCUGAACAAUGAAAACACAUGGACACAGGGAGGGGAACAUCAUACACCGGGGCCUGUCGGGGGGUGAGGGGCUAGGGGAGGGAUAGCAUUAGGAGAAAUACCUAAUGUAGAU